rnacentral:rRNA from 1 species
UACGGGGGGGGCAAGCGUUGUUCGGAAUUACUGGGCGUAAAGGGCUCGUAGGUGGCCAACUAAGUCAGACGUGAAAUCCCUCGGCUUAACCGGGGAACUGCGUCUGAUACUGGAUGGCUUGAGUUCGGGAGAGGGAUGCGGAAUUCCAGGUGUAGCGGUGAAAUGCGUAGAUAUCAGGAAGAACACCCGUGGCGAAGGCGGCUCUCUGGGACGGUACUGACGCUGAGACGCGAAAGCGUGGGGAGCGAACAGG